rnacentral:lncRNA from 1 species
AAGCCAAUAAACAGGCCAGGCUGGUGGAAAGGAACGUUUGCUUUAUUUCAGAUGCUGGCAAGUGGAACAGGGGAGGGUGGUGGACAUCUGUCCAAGGGUCGAUUCCCACCCCCCCACCCCCCAGGGUCGAUUCCCACCCCCCCACCCCCCCACCCCCCCACCCCCCCACCCCCCCCCCCACCGCCCCCCCCCCCAGUCAUCUCGAAGUCAUCUUCACGUUGGUCAUCAGGGGGCUGACCAGCAUCAUAUUGGUUGUUUUUAUUGUUGUUCGGUCACUCAGUCUUGUUUGACUCUUUGUGACCCCAUGAAUGGCAGCACGCCAGGUUUCUCUGUCCUUCACCAUCUUCUGGAGCUUGUUCAAACUCAUAAUCAUCGAGUCGGUGAUGCCAUCAAACCAUCUCACCCUCUGUCAUCCCCUUCUCCUCCUGCCUUAAUCUUUCCCAGCAUCACGGUCUUUUCCAAUGAGUCAGUUUUUUUGCAUCAGGUGGCCAAAGUAUUGGAGCUUCAGCCUCAGUCCUCCAUGUGGAAAACAGUCAUUCAGAGGACCCAAGACAUGGUGGUUACAGAUAGACUUCCCACAGUGCUUCUUCAUUGCAUGUGGACUCCUUCAAGGGCAGUGAGCAUCACAGCGUCCCUUGAACUUCGUCUGGAGUGUUACUGAGAUUUUUGGUUACUUGGACAAACCUGAUGGAUUUAAAGCAGACAUGGUGAAUAUAGGAUCUGGGUGGCCUUUAUAUAGAAAAGGACAUAUAGAGGAUUUUUUUCACAAAAGAUGGUCUUAAUGUUUAUCCAUGUAUCAAUACUACAUUCUUUUUCCCCAUAGUAAUUAAAAAUAAAUAACAUGCCAUUUACCA